rnacentral:tRNA from 1 species
GCUAUUUUGGCAGAUUGUAGUGCUUUGGAUUUAGAAUCUGAAUAUGUGAUUAAUAUCAUAGAUAGUA